rnacentral:rRNA from 1 species
CCAGACUCCUACGGGAGGCAGCAGUGGGGAAUAUUGGGCAAUGGAGGAAACUCUUACCCAGCAAUGCCGCGUGAAUGAAGAAGGUCUUCGGAUUGUAAAGUUCUUUAAUUGGGGACGAAAAAAAUGACGGUACCCAAGGAAUAAGCCCCGGCUAACUACGUGCCAGCAGCCGCGGUAAUACGUAGGUGGCAAGCGUUGUCCGGAUUUACUGGGUGUAAAGGGCGUGCAGCCGGAGAGACAAGUCAGAUGUGAAAUCCACGGGCUCAACCCGUGAACUGCAUUUGAAACUGUUUCCCUUGAGUGUCGGAGAGGUAAUCGGAAUUCCUUGUGUAGCGGUGAAAUGCGUAGAUAUAAGGAAGAACACCAGUGGCGAAGGCGGAUUACUGGACGAUAACUGACGGUGAGGCGCGAAAGCGUGGGGAGCAAACAGGAUUAGAUACCCCGGUACA